AGUGAAUAGAUACCCUGGUAGUCCACGCCCUAAACUAUGUCAACUAGGUGUUGGGUGGGUAAAACCAUUUAGUACCGUAGCUAAACGCGUGAAAGUUGACCGCCUGGGGAGUACGGCCGCAAGGUUAAAACUCAAAGGAAUUGACGGGGACCCGCACAAGCGGUGGAUGAUGUGGAUUAAUUCGAUGCAACGCGAAAAAACCUUACCUACCCUUGACAUGCCAGGAACUUGCCAGAGAUGGCUUGGUGCCCGAAAGGGAGCCUGGACACAGGUGCUGCAUGGCUGUCGUCAGCUCGUGUCGUGAGAUGUUGGGCUAAGUCCCGCAACGAGCGCAACCCUUGUCGUUAAUUGCCAUCAUUUGGUUGGGCACUUUAACGAGACUGCCGGUGACAAACCGGAGGAAGGUGGGGAUGACGUCAAGUCCUCAUGGCCCUUAUGGGUAGGGCUUCACACGUCAUACAAUGGUCGGUACAGAGGGUUGCCAAGCCGCGAGGCGGAGCCAAUCCCAGAAAGCCGAUCGUAGUCCGGAUUGCAGGCU
rnacentral:rRNA from 1 species